GACGAACGCUGGCGGCGUGCUUAACACAUGCAAGUCGAACGGAAAGGCCUUUUCGGAGGUACUCGAGUGGCGAACGGGUGAGUAACACGUGGGUGAUCUGCCCUGCACUCUGGGAUAAGCCUGGGAAACUGGGUCUAAUACCGGAUAGGACCGCACUUUAGUGUGUGUGGUGGAAAGUUUUUUCGGUGUAGGAUGAGCCCGCGGCCUAUCGGCUUGUUGGUGGGGUAAUGGCCUACCAAGGCGGCGACGGGUAGCCGGACUGAGAGGUUGGUCGGCCACAUUGGGACUGAGAUACGGCCCAGACUCCUACGGGAGGCAGCAGUGGGGAAUAUUGCACAAUGGGCGCAAGCCUGAUGCAGCGACGCCGCGUGGGGGAUGACGGCCUUCGGGUUGUAAACUCCUUUCGCCAGGGACGAAGCGUUUUGUGACGGUACCUGGAGAAGAAGCACCGGCUAACUACGUG
rnacentral:rRNA from 1 species